rnacentral:lncRNA from 1 species
UAUUUUCUUAAUUUUAAUGAAUGUUGUCCUAUUAUAGGAUUAACUGUGAAGAAGCUGAAGAAGCCAAAAGAAUUUUCAAUUAAAGGAAUUGCAGAGACAUGUGACAGCACUGCAGGAACAUCCACCGGGACUGCUCCCAGCCUUUGGAACACCGGCUCCAAAGCAGCUCUGAGCAGAGUCCUGCAAAGCUGCUCCUGGGCACCACUCCUGGGCACUGCUUCUGGGCAUUGCUUCUGGGCAUCGCUCCUGGGCACCAUUCCUGGGCACCACUCCUGGGCAUCGCUCCUGGGCACCAUUCCUGGGCACCGCUCCUGGGCAUUGCUCCUGGGCAUCACUCCUGGGCACCGCUCCUGGGCACCACUCCUGGGCACCGCUCCUGGGCACCACUCCUGGGCACUGCUCCUGGGCCUGGCUGUGCUGUGUGCUCGCUGUUACUGUCAGGAUGCUGAGGAUGAUGAGGAUGUUGCUGCUGCUGCUGAUGCUGAUGAUGAGGAUGAUGAUGAUGAUGAUGAUGAGGAUGAUGAGAUGAUGGUGAUGAUGGUGAUGAUGAUGCUGAUGAUGAGGAUGAUGAUGAUGAGGAUGAUGAUGUUGAUGAGGAUGAUGAUGAUGAGAUGAUGAUGAUGAUGAUGAUGAUUCAGAGCCGUGCAGAGGGGAUGUCUUUGUGCAGAACACAAAUCAGCAGCAGGCAGUAUUGAAUGCAGCCCGGUGUGUCCCUGAGCGAGUGGGGCUGAGCAAGGGACCUGCAGGAGAUGCAGGGAGAAGCUGAGGAGCCCUCAGGGAUGUCACUGAGCUGUGGCAGAGCACGGGGACACUGCAGAGGCUUUGCCCAGAGCCCUGGGGACAGGGGCCAAGCCACCGGUGCCAGGCUCAUCCUCACGGGUCCUGUCAGUGCAGCCACGCACAUCCUGUGUUCGAGGGGAGAAAUAUCCUGCAAUGUUCCACACACCUGAGAGCACACCUGGGACAUGCCAGGGGAGCAGCAGGCUCAGCACUCAGGCCAGAACAGAUUCUAAAUAAAAUGCAGCUUUUACACCUUGAGCUCA